rnacentral:ncRNA from 2 species
UUUUUUCACCAGGGGUGCUUUUUAUCACGUGAUAAAAGGCUGAGAAAUACCCUUAAAACCUGCUCUGGUUAAUGCCUGCGGAGGGAGAGUGAUGUUGAACGAUA